rnacentral:lncRNA from 1 species
AUGGCUGACCUUUCUUUUUCCUUUUCCUUUCCUCCACAUUUUCUUCAUUUUCUGAUUUUUCUUCAUUUUCUUAUUUUUCUUUUUCCUUUUUCUUUUCUUCCCAUCAUUAAUUUUCUUUUUCUUCUCCUUUUUCACUUUUUCCCUUUUCUUGUGCUUCCCCUUUUUCUUUUUUCUUCCCCUUUUUCUUUUUUUCUUCCCCUUAUUUUCUUUUUCUUCCCCUUAUUUUCUUUUUCUUCCCCUUUUUUCUUUUCUUAUUCUUCCCAUCUUUCUUGUACUUCGACCUUUCUUUUUUCUUUUUCUUCCCCUUUUUCCCUUUCUUUUCCUGUUAUUCACUUUCUUCCUCCUUUUCUUCCCCUUUUUCUCUUUCUUUUCUUCCCCUUAUUCAUUUCAUUUUCUUUUCCUUCCCUUUUCACUUUCUUCCCUCUUUUUCUUACCCCCUUUUCUCUUUUCUCUUUUUUCUCUUUUCUUUUUUCCUUUCCUUACUCCUUUUCUUUUCUCUUUUCUUUUCUUUUCCUUUUCUUUUUUUCUUUUUUCCUUUCCCUCCCCUCCCCUUCCCUCUCCUCCCCUCCCCUUCCCUCUCCUCCCCUUCCCUCUCCUCCCCUCCCUUCCGCUCCGUUCCCCUCCCCCUCCCUUCCCCACCGUUCCCUUCCCUUUUCCUUUCUUUCCUUUCUUUUCCUUUUCCUUUCUUUUUUCAUCUUUUUUCUUUUCUUUUUUCUUUUCCUUUUCCUUUCCCUCCCCUCCCCUCCCCCUCCCUUCCCCUCCGUUCCCUUCCCUUUUCUUUUCCUUUCCUUUCCGUUCCUUUUUCCUUUCUUCUUUUCCUUUCCUUUUUCUCUUUUGCUUUCCUUUUUCUUUUUUCCUUUCCUUUUUCUCUUUUCCUUUCUUUUCUUCUCUUUUUUCUUUCCUUUUUUCUGUUUUCUCUCUCUCUUAUUUCUCUUUUUUCUCCUCUCAUCUUCUCUUUUUCUUCCCUCUUUUCUUCCCUUUUUCUUUUUUCUUCCCCUUUUUCAUUUUGUCCUUCCCUUUUUCAUUUUCUUCCCCCUUUUUCUUCCUCCCCCCCCUUUUUCUUUUCUUUUACAUUCCCCUUUUUUCCUCCUCUUCCUCUUUCUUUUCCUCUUCCUCUUUCUUUUCCUCUUCCUUUCUUUUCCUCUUUCUCUUCCUCUUCCUCUUUUUCUUCCUCUUUCUCUUCCUCUUUCUCUUCCUUUUCCUCUUCCUUUCUUUUCCUCUUUCUCUUCCUCUUCCUCUUUUUCUCCCUCUUUUUAUUCCUCUUUCUCUUCCUCUUUCUCUUCCUCUUCUUCCUCUUCCUCUUCUUUUUUCCUAGUUCCCUGCCAAAUGCAGAGGUUCUUGUCAUUUCCCCUUUUUCUUUUCUUCCCCUUGUUCUUUCCCCCUUUUUUCCCUCUUUUUCUUUCAGACUUCUUUCUACUGUUCUCACCUGUGUGA